CUUUGUAUUCUUCCACAGCUUUCUUGAACUGCAUACAAAAGAGUUCCUUUCCAUGCAUGCCAUGGCAUUCAUUCUUCUACACAAUAUUGUUUUGCGGUUCAAUAAAGCUGUGGGAAGAUACAGAUA
rnacentral:pre_miRNA from 1 species